rnacentral:rRNA from 1 species
GACGAACGCUGGCGGCGUGCUUAACACAUGCAAGUCGAACGGAAAGGCCCUGCUUUUGUGGGGUGCUCGAGUGGCGAACGGGUGAGUAACACGUGAGUAACCUGCCCUUGACUUUGGGAUAACUUCAGGAAACUGGGGCUAAUACCGGAUAGGAGCUCCUGCUGCAUGGUGGGGGUUGGAAAGUUUCGGCGGUUGGGGAUGGACUCGCGGCUUAUCAGCUUGUUGGUGGGGUAGUGGAUUACCAAGGCUUUGACGGGUAGCCGGCCUGAGAGGGUGACCGGCCCAAUCAGGACUGAGAUAAGACCCAGCCUACUACGGGACGCAGCAGUGGGGAAUAUUGCACAAUGGGCGGAAGCCUGGUGUAGCCCCGCCGCGUGCGGGAUGACGGCCUUCGGGUUGUAUACCGCUUUCGCCUGUGACGAAGCGUGAGUGACGGUAAUGGGUAAAGAAGCACCGGCUAACUACGUG